rnacentral:rRNA from 1 species
GAUGAACGCUGGCGGCGUGCCUAAUACAUGCAAGUCGAGCGAACAGAUGAGGAGCUUGCUCCUCUGACGUUAGCGGCGGACGGGUGAGUAACACGUGGAUAACCUACCUAUAAGACUGGGAUAACUUCGGGAAACCGGAGCUAAUACCGGAUAAUAUAUUGAACCGCAUGGUUCAAUAGUGAAAGACGGUUUUGCUGUCACUUAUAGAUGGAUCCGCGCCGCAUUAGCUAGUUGGUAAGGUAACGGCUUACCAAGGCAACGAUGCGUAGCCGACCUGAGAGGGUGAUCGGCCACACUGGAACUGAGACAGGGUCCAGACUCCUACGGGAGGCAGCAGUAGGGAAUCUUCCGCAAUGGGCGAAAGCCUGACGGAGCAACGCCGCGUGAGUUAUGAAGGUCUUCGGAUCGUAAAACUCUGUUAUUAGGGAAGAACAAAUGUGUAAGUAACUAUGCACUUCUUGACGGUACCUAAUCAGAAAGCCACGGCUAACUACGUG